rnacentral:misc_RNA from 1 species
GAUGAAGAACGUAGCGAAAUGCGAUACGUAAUGUGAAUUGCAGAAUUCAGUGAAUCAUCGAAUCUUUGAACGCAUAUUGCGCUCUCUGGUAUUCCGGAGAGCAUGCUUGUUUGAGUAUCAGAAAACACCUCAACUCCCUUUUCUUUUUUGAAAUUGGAGCUGGACUUGAGUGAUCCCAACGCUUUCUUCCAAGAAAGUGGCGGGUUGCUUGAAAUGCAGGUGCAGCUGAACUUUUCUCUGAGCUAUAAGCAUAUCUAUUUAGUCUGCCUAAAAAACAGAUUAUUACCUUUGCUGCAGCUAACAUAAAGGAGACUAGUUCUUGUGCUGACUGAUGCAGGAUUCACAGAGACAGCUUCGGCUGACUUUGUAAACUCGAUCUCAAAUCAAGUAAGACUACCCGCUGAACUUAAGCAUAUCAAUAAGCGGAGGA